rnacentral:sRNA from 1 species
CGCAACAAGAACAUGGCCGCGCGAGCCU